rnacentral:tRNA from 1 species
GUCCAGGGAUGGGAUACGAACCCACACUGUUCCGCUUACCGGGCAGAUGCCAUGUCCACUAGGCUACCCUGUGA